GCGGACGUGGUGGAAUUGGCAGACACGCCAGAUUUAGGAUCUGGUGGGGUAAAACCCGUGGGGGUUCGAAUCCCCCCGUCCGCACCA
rnacentral:tRNA from 1 species